AGUCGAGCGGAACGAGUUAUCUGAACCUUCGGGGAACGAUAACGCGUCAGCGGCGGACGGGUGAGUAAUGCCUAGGAAAUUGCCCUGAUGUGGGGGAUAACCAUUGGAAACGAUGGCUAAUACCGCAUGAUGCCUACGGGCCAAAGAGGGGGACCUUCGGGCCUCUCGCGUCAGGAUAUGCCUAGGUGGGAUUAGCUAGUUGGUGAGGUAAGGGCUCACCAAGGCGACGAUCCCUAGCUGGUCUGAGAGGAUGAUCAGCCACACUGGAACUGAGACACGGUCCAGACUCCUACGGGAGGCAGCAGUGGGGAAUAUUGCACAAUGGGCGCAAGCCUGAUGCAGCCAUGCCGCGUGUAUGAAGAAGGCUUCGGGUUGUAAAGUACUUUCAGUCGUGAGGAAGCGGCGUCGUUAUAGCGGCGUUGUUUGACGUUAGCGACAGAAGAAGCACCGGCU
rnacentral:rRNA from 1 species